rnacentral:lncRNA from 1 species
GACGAAGUCUCACUCUAUUGCCCAGGCUGGAGUGCAAUGGCAUGAUCUCGGCUCACUGCAACCUCCGCCUCCCGGGUUCAAGCGAUUCUCCUGCCUCGGCCUCCUGAGUAGCUGGGAUUACAGGCGCGCACCACCACGUCUGGCUAAUUUUUGUAUUCUUAGUAGAGACAGGGUUUCACCAUGUUGGCCAGGCUGGUCUCGAGCUCCUGACCUCAUGAUCCACCUGCCUUGGCUUCCCAAAGUGCUGGGAUUACAGGCAUGAGCCACCACACCCAGCCUUUUCUCACAUUCUUUAAUGCAACAAAUAUUUACUGAGCCUCUACCUGAAAGCAUCUGUGGUGAAUAAACUCUUAUUCGUGCUACUGGACUCCCAAGCAUACAAUCCUACUGUAUGAAAAAUCUCGCAUGAACAGAGAUGAAUGAGAUCAGCAAUGAAUAAGAAGAAAAGGACCUCCAAGGUGGACCAGCUUUCCAAAGCCUCGAGAAGGAGGGCAGUUUACAGGAAAUUAUAAUAUGUUUGAAAUUAGAUAUAUUGCAUAGGUUUUCCCUCGUGUUGGCAUGCAAUCUUGGUCAGAUUACUUAAAAUCUAAGUUUCCGGAUCUCUUCAACAAGAAUUCAGACAUAAAGUAAGAGUAUUGGCAUAAAGAUUACAUGAAAGAGUACAUAAACAAACACUUUAUAACUAUGAUGUAUGGAGUGAAUAUGAACUACUGCUAUUGUUAUGUACAGAGCAAGGAAAGUAUUACUUUGUGAUUAUAAUGUUGGGACAAAGGAUUCACUUUUGAUUUUUUGUUUCUUUUUCUUUAAAAUGCUGAUUAUCCAAAAAGUCUUUCCCUUACAGUUUUUAAAAUCUAUUUUAAAUACAUAAAGAGCUUCUGUGACCAAUAAUAAAAUAUUAUCAAUCCUAUAGAAAAAUUAGGCAAAUGAAUAAUAUAAUUCGGAGCUUACAGGAAAUGAGGGCCAAACGGCUUUUAAACAUGAAAAGUCAUUCCACCUCAUUCAGUUAAAAAAAAA